rnacentral:rRNA from 1 species
UACAGAGGGGCGAGCGUUGUUCGGAAUUACUGGGCGUAAAGGCGCGUAGGCGGCCAACUAAGUCAGACGUGAAAUCCCUCGGCUCAACCGGGAACUGCGUCUGAUACUGGAUGGCUUGAAUUCGGGAGAGGGAUGCGGAAUUCCAGGUGUAGCGGUGAAAUGCGUAGAUAUCUGGAGGAACACCGGUGGCGAAGGCGGCAUCCUGGACCGAGAUUGACGCUGACUGCGCGA